CGGAUCGUAAAGCUCUGUUUUGAGGGAAGAACAAGUGCAAGAGUAACUGCUUGCACCUUGACGGUACCUAACCAGAAAGCCACGGCUAACUACGUGCCAGCAGCCGCGGUAAUACGUAGGUGGCAAGCGUUGUCCGGAAUUAUUGGGGCGUAAAGGGCUCGCAGGCGGUUUCUUAAGUCUGAUGUGAAAGACCCGGGCUCAACCGGGGAGGGUCAUUGGAAACUGGGAAACUUGAGUGCAGAAGAGGAGAGUGGAAUUCCACGUGUAGCGGUGAAAUGCGUAGAGAUGUGGAGGAACACCAGUGGCGAAGGCGACUCUCUGGUCUGUAACUGACGCUGAGGAGCGAAAGCGUGGGGAGCGAACAGGAUUAGAUACCCUGGUAGUCCACGCCGUAAACGAUGAGUGCUAAGUGUUAGGGGAUUUCCGCCCCUUAGUGCUGCAGCUAACGCAUUAAGCACUCCGCCUUGGAAGUACGGUCGCAAGACUGAAACUCACCGGAAUUGACGGGGGGCCCGCAC
rnacentral:rRNA from 1 species